rnacentral:rRNA from 1 species
GACGAACGCUGGCGGCGUGCCUAAUACAUGCAAGUCGAGCGAACGGACGAGAAGCUUGCUUUUCUGAUGUUAGCGGCGGACGGGUGAGUAACACGUGGAUAACCUACCUAUAAGACUGGGAUAACUUCGGGAAACCGGAGCUAAUACCGGAUAAUAUUUUGAACCGCAUGGUUCAAAAGUGAAAGACGGUCUUGCUGUCACUCAUAGAUGGAUCCGCGCUGCAUUAGCUAGUUGGUAAGGUAACGGCUUACCAAGGCAACGAUGCAUAGCCGACCUGAGAGGGUGAUCGGCCACACUGGAACUGAGACACGGUCCAGACUCCUACGGGAGGCAGCAGUAGGGAAUCUUCCGCAAUGGGCGAAAGCCUGACGGAGCAACGCCGCGUGAGUGAUGAAGGUCUUCGGAUCGUAAAACUCUGUUAUUAGGGAAGAACAUAUGUGUAAGUAACUGUGCACAUCUUGACGGUACCUAAUCAGAAAGCCACGGCUAACUACGCGCCAGCAGCCGCGGUAAUACGUAGGUGGCAAGCGUUAUCCGGAAUUAUUGGGCGUAAAGCGCGCGUAGGCGGUUUUUUAAGUCUGAUGUGAAAGCCCACGGCUCAACCGUGGAGGGUCAUUGGAAACUGGAAAACUUGAGUGCAGAAGAGGAAAGUGGAAUUCCAUGUGUAGCGGUGAAAUGCGCAGAGAUAUGGAGGAACACCAGUGGCGAAGGCGACUUUCUGGUCUGUAACUGACGCUGAUGUGCGAAAGCGUGGGGAUCAAACAGGAUUAGAUACCCUGGUAGUCCACGCCGUAAACGAUGAGUGCUAAGUGUUAGGGGGUUUCCGCCCCUUAGUGCUGCAGCUAACGCAUUAAGCACUCCGCCUGGGGAGUACGACCGCAAGGUUGAAACUCAAAGGAAUUGACGGGGACCCGCACAAGCGGUGGAGCAUGUGGUUUAAUUCGAAGCAACGCGAAGAACCUUACCAAAUCUUGACAUCCUUUGACAACUCUAGAGAUAGAGCUUUCCCCUUCGGGGGACAAAGUGACAGGUGGUGCAUGGUUGUCGUCAGCUCGUGUCGUGAGAUGUUGGGUUAAGUCCCGCAACGAGCGCAACCCUUAAGCUUAGUUGCCAUCAUUAAGUUGGGCACUCUAAGUUGACUGCCGGUGACAAACCGGAGGAAGGUGGGGAUGACGUCAAAUCAUCAUGCCCCUUAUGAUUUGGGCUACACACGUGCUACAAUGGACAAUACAAAGGGCAGCGAAACCGCGAGGUCAAGCAAAUCCCAUAAAGUUGUUCUCAGUUCGGAUUGUAGUCUGCAACUCGACUACAUGAAGCUGGAAUCGCUAGUAAUCGUAGAUCAGCAUGCUACGGUGAAUACGUUCCCGGGUCU